GGAUCUAGGUUCAGGAUCUGACUGCAACAUCUGUCACCCUAUUGAUCACCAGGGUUGAUUCGGCUGAUCUGGCUGGCUAGGUGGGUAUCCCCUUCCUCCCUAACCGCUGCAUUUGUGUCCCUCCCAAAGCUGCAUGGUGGGUCAAAGAGGAUGGCCUUUCCCAAAUAGAGAUAACCGGUCUUUGGUUGAGGGUAUACGAGUAGCUUCACUCCUCAGCUAGAACCUCCAAACAAGCUCUUGAGGAUCUAGGUUCAAGCCCCUGCUCCUGGCCUUGAGGGGGAAACUUCAUGAUGAGUGAAGCAGUGUUGCAGGUGUCUCUCUGUCUUCCUUU
rfam:Erinaceus europaeus unplaced genomic scaffold scaffold00425, whole genome shotgun sequence